UGCACCGAUAGCUCAAUUGGAUAGAGCACCUGGCUUCGGACCAGGGGGUUUGAGGUUCAAAUCCUCAUCGGUGCGU
rnacentral:tRNA from 1 species